CUCGUAGGCGGCCAACUAAGUCAGACGUGAAAUCCCUCGGCUUAACCGGGGAACUGCGUCUGAUACUGGAUGGCUCGAGAUUGGGAGAGGGAUGCGGAAUUCCAGGUGUAGCGGUGAAAUGCGUAGAUAUCUGGAGGAACACCGGUGGCGAAGGCGGCAUCCUGGACCAACACUGACGCUGAGGAGCGAAAGCCAGGGGAGCAAACG
rnacentral:rRNA from 1 species